GGGAGCGGCAGACGGCUGAGUAACACGUUGGAAUCUACCCGAUACUCGAGAAUAGCCCGGAGAAAUCCGGAUUAAUGCUCGAUAGUCCCUUAGGGGUAAAGAUUUAUCGGUAUCGGAGGAUCCUGCGGCCUAUCAGUUUGUUGGUGGGGUAAUGGCUUACCAAGACAAUGACGGGUAGCUGGUGUGAGAGCACGACCAGCCAGAAUGGGACUGAGACACGGCCCAUACUCC
rnacentral:rRNA from 1 species